CGUAUCUGUGUAAUAUACUGUUUAUAAAUCCUGCACAUGCGUAGAUCUAUUUUAUUCCUUGCAAACAUGGCGGAAAUGAGUCCUGGGAAAUAUAAAAUAUCUAGAUAAAACUCAAACAUGGAGCACAAGGCGCAGCUUAAGAACGUAAAAUACAGAAACUGGGUGAGGGCAGGUCUUGGGAUAAAAUACGUAAAAGAAGGUUUGGAACCAUUUUGCGACCAUCUUGUUAACCAGCAGCAUAUUGCUAUCUUAGAUAAAGUUAAACGGAAACACAAUCUUUCGGCAGUGACAUGCGGACUUUGCGACGUACGCACUCUCCAACCUGAUCAUGUCCAAACCAAAACUAGGCAAUGUCCUCUUGGUCAAACAUACUGUAAUUGCCUACAUCCACGCGGGAAAAUAUCAUGUGCAAACAAAGUAUGUGGCGCCAUCUACGAUGAAAUAAUUCAACUCCAUGCUUCAACCCCGCCAGCUCCAAACUGGAAAAAUACGGACGCACAACAAUGGUGCACUGAACCAUGGGCUGUCGCAAAAUGUUUUAUAAAUGCUCCAGGAUACGAGGCAAAUAAAAGUAGAGCGGUAGAAUUUGACUGUCCUGGCUUGUUGCAUGUGCUGAUUAACAACAUAGAAUUCCAACAACAUAUCAAGUGUGUGAUAACUGGUACAGAUGUUUUCUCAAGGGUACGCAAGUCUAGAAACGAUAUAUUUCACUCUCACAGUAUGGAAUUAGAAGACACGGAGGUUAACAAUUAUAUAGAUGAUAUGAUAGAACUUUUGGAAGAUGAACAUGAAAUUAAACACAGACAAGAAUCUAAAGAUGCCGUUAAAAACCUAAUAGAGCUAAAGCGGGAAGAUUUCAUUACAACAACUACAGACGAGGCCGAAAUCCGCCGUGUUGCCAUGGCUGCAAUCAACGAGAAGGAAAGAGAACUUCAACAAACGAUACUUGUUGCUGGAAAUGAAUUUAGAACUGCAGCUGCUGAAGGAAAACGCAAGCUUGAGGGGAAAGGUUUAGUUAUUAAAUCUGAACUCCAACAGAAAAGAAGGAAACUCAGAAAGGAAUUGGUAAUGACAAAUGAUGAAGUAAGAACUACAGCUACCGAGGGCAAACGCAUGCUUGAGAAGGAAGGUCAAGCUAUUAAAGCUAACCUCCAGCAGACAGCAGAAAAAAUUGAACAGAAAAGAAUUGGGAUCGAAAAGCAGCUGACGACAAAAACAGUAGAAGCAGAACAAAAUAUAGAGCUCAAACUUCAAGAAUGAAAGUUGGAGUUAGAGCGUGUAAAGAACUUGACUGAAGAUCUGAUAGCGGGUAAAUCCCAGACUAGACAAGAAGCUGAGAAUAGCAAGGCCAAAACAGACUUUCAGGAGAAGUUGGUCAAACGAUAUGAAAAGUACGUCAGAAUGGUAUCCACGGUACCCCUAAAACCGCAAAGAAAACAAGAGAAUGUGAGUGAUGUAUAUGUUCCUCCCUGGAUGACUGUAGAAAUAAAGAAUGAAAAAUCUAAAGAAUGGAAAGAGGUUACGAUUUCAAUGCACGAAAUAUUCAAAAAUAGCGAAAAGCCCGCAAAAUAUAUUUACGUAAUCGGAGACGCUGGCACGGGGAAAAGCAUGUUUUGUAAAAUGCUUGUGCAUUUCUGGUGUAUCGCUCAUUCGCAUCAAGAAAUCAAUUUAGACAAAUCAGACAUUAUGAUAGUAAAAGAAAUGCAAAGCUUUAAAUUCUUAUUUUAUGUUUUACUGCGAUACUCUUCCGAUUGUGACAGUAUAGAAAAAAUGUUAGAGAAAUCAUAUCAUGAUCCUGCGCUUGGACAUAUUUUACAAAAUGAAUCAGGUAAAUGUCUUAUUGUACUUGAUGGUCUCGAUGAAUGGAUACCAGAAUGUAAACAUGAUUCGCAAUUUCUGACCCCAGGACUUCCAGGACGCGAGCUCGAUGCUGAUUAUACCAUUAUAACAACUUCAAGACAAUGGAAAUUUGAUACCUUGCAAAUAAGUGAUACUGAGGUAGAUAAAAGAAUCAAACUACGCGGAAUAGAUACAUAUCAAAUGACAGUUUUCAACAAAGCAAAAAUGCAGAGAAAUGUAAAACUGAUCUUCAAACCAGACGCGUUUCCGAUAUCAGCCACAUACCAUUAAUCUUGCAACAGUUAAUUUGUCUAUGGUUUGACGAUAAACUCCGAGAAAAUUCGAAGUAUGCUAUAUACAGUAAUAUGUUAGCGCUCUUUUUUGAAUGGAAUGCGCUGAAGACGACUUCAAGAAAUCAAGAAUGCGAGAGAGCUACACAAGCACGUAUGGACGUUUCACUUUUGCCUGACUACUUAUGUGAUAUCAAGGCCCUCCGAGAAAACAUCCGUGUUAUACAGUAUCUUUCACUGUUAGCGUACGAAACCCUUUUUGACAAAAACAAAGAAAUCAAACUGACGUUCAGUAACUCAGCAUUAGAACGCCUGAACAUACCAAAUAACGUAAUAAAGUAUUGUCUGAACAUAGGCAUCUUAACAGAAGAGCAAGACGUAAGUUUACCUGCAAGUUCAAGUCAACAAUCAUUAUUUUCAUUUUUUCACAAGUCAUUGCAAGAAUACUUAGCCGCAGUGUAUGUCGCUAGUAGGCUAAAAGAAAUGUUGAAGUCGCUGAAAUUAUUUCCGAACUAUGACGAUGAUCUUGCAGACGUUUGCAAAACGUGCUUAAGGAAAUACUUUGGCACUUGCAAAACGGUUGUUGAUAUCUUAGAUCAGUCAAACGUGUUAAUUAUGCUUUGUGGAUUAGAACCACAGCUGCUGACAAAUGUUAGUGAGUACAUUUAUGACGUAACACUUGUUGACAAAUCGGCUGUUCAGGAAAGAAAUACAGUACCGCAGGAUAGCUUUUCUUCAAAUCAUCAUAAUUUGAUAAAAGAUAUUCAAAUGUGCAUAUUUAUGUGUAUUGAAGAAGCUAUGUCAAGUGCAAAAAAUGUUCACACACCUGUGUAUAUUGCCGAUAUUUACGUUUCGCAUUCAACAGAUUUGCUAAGGUAUUGUGAGUAUGUUGUUUCGAAGUAUGUUCUAUCGAUAGAUUUAGAUAGGUUUUGGUGCUUCAUGAAAAAAACUGAUAACGAAACAGUUUACCUUGCCGUGAAACAUCUUGGAAAAUGUGAUCAAUUGAAGGCAAUAAAAUCCAGCAUUAGUGAUGACAGGAUUAAUAAUGAAAUCACAAAAAUACUUGAUACAAAUGUUUUCACGCUUGAAACUGUCAGUUUCUUAGAAACAGACAAGAAAAUCAUAACACAUCUUGUUUCGAUAUUACCGAAAAUGCAACAAUUAACUUCGCUUCAGAUGAAAGGGACUAUUUCCGACCGUAUUCCACAUGAUGUUUGUUCGUCGUUGUGUACAUACCUGAAUCAGAAUACAAGUCUUAAUCAUAUAGCGUUUAAUAUUUAUAGUGAGAAAUUCUGUAUGGUCAGUUGUAACAUUGACAAUCUAGAAACGUGUACGCUUAGUAUUGAAAACGUUGACAUGAUGAAACAAAUGUGUAACUGUCUAUGUGAAGCAGAUAAAUUAAAACAUCUUGAGCUGUAUGCCGGUUUUUUUAUGAGGUCUUAUAAAACUGUUACUAAAAAUCUUACCAGACUGCUGCCGUCAUUAGUCAGUCUCAGUUCUCUAACGUUAUGGGACUUUUCUUUUACUGACAAUAUUAUAGCACGUCCGUGUGAUAUAAAGAAUCUGAAAGAAAUAACACUUCAAGAAGUAACACUGAGUCUGCCCACGUGGUGCAAGUUUAUAGACAGUCUUCCUGCACUGCCACAAGUAGCAACGGUAGAAACAUUUGACAUGGAUAUUAGAGAUGGGACAAUACUUGAAAUUAGAAUUUGUGAUAUUGAACAGAAAGCAGCUGCACGCCAGUAUGUUAGAGAGAAAACAAAUUUAUUCCGCGUGACACGUGAUGAUACCUUUGGUUUUUGUUUUACUACAAAGAAAGUGCGACUCUGAAUAUGUAUUUAUCAUAACGCAAAUUACGAUCACUUGAGUUGGCAUAAAUGUUGACAGUGUUUCAUGAAAAUAACGUGCAACAGAACUGUUUUAUAUCAAGCUUACAUUACAGCAUGUGUCGUAUGUCUUUUAAACAGACCUUUUUUUAAGAAAAAUGCAAAAAGUAUUUAUAUUUCUGAAUAGCUGUAAUAAAACGAAAAAUACAUCGUACUUCAGAUGUUUCUAGUCUAUAUGUAUAAUUUUAUUUAUUUAACACACUGAAUCUACCUUAUAGACAUGUUUAUCACAUGUUUGACGUCGCGGGA